UUGAACGCUGGCGGCAUGCCUUACACAUGCAAGUCGAACGGGCUUUAGGGGCUUGCUCCUAAAGUUAGUGGCGAACGGGUGAGUAAAGUAUCGGAACGUACCAUUCAGUGGGGGAUAACGUAGCGAAAGUUACGCUAAUACCGCAUAUUCUGUGAGCAGGAAAGCAGGGGAUCGCAAGACCUUGCGCUGAUUGAGCGGCCGAUAUCAGAUUAGCUAGUUGGCGGGGUAAUAGCCCACCAAGGCGACGAUCUGUAGCGGGUCUGAGAGGAUGAUCCGCCACACUGGGACUGAGACACGGCCCAGACUCCUACGGGAGGCAGCAGUGGGGAAUUUUGGACAAUGGGCGCAAGCCUGAUCCAGCCAUGCCGCGUGAGUGAAGAAGGCCUUCGGGUUGUAAAGCUCUUUCAGACGGAAAGAAAUCGGGCGCGUGAAUAGCGUGCCUGGAUGACGGUACUGUCAGAAGAAGCACCGGCUAACUACGU
rnacentral:rRNA from 1 species